GUGAACAAUUAAGGGCGCGCGGUGGAUGCCUAGGCUCUCGGAGGCGAAGAAGGACGCGAUAAGCCGCGAUAGUCCACGGCGAGGUGCAAGUAACCCUUGACCCGUGGGUUUCCGAAUGGGGCAACCCGGCCGUCUAGAUGACGGUCAUGCAUUAUCAUGCAGGCGAACGCGGGGAACUGAAACAUCUCAUUACCCGCAGGAGAAGAAAACAACAGUGAUUCCCCCAGUAGUGGCGAGCGAACGGGGAAGAGCCCAAACCGCUGCCGUUUCGGCGACAGCGGGGUCAUGGGACCGCGAUAUUCGACGAUGGACGAAGUGCAAUUACCUGGAAAGGUAAGCCGUGGAGGGUGACAGCCCCGUGCACGACACCUCUUUCUUAGAUAGCGGAAUCCCGAGUAGGGCGGGACACGAGAAAUCCUGCCUGAAUUCGCCAGGACCUCCUGGCAAGGCUAAAUACUCCCGAGAGACCGAUAGUGAACCAGUACCGUGAGGGAAAGGUGAAAAGUACCCCGAGCAGGGGGGUGAAAUAGACCCUGAACCCGCGCGCCUACAAGCGGUCGGAGCCAUGAAAUAUGGUGACGGCGUGCCUUUUGCAUAAUGAGCCUACGAGUUAGUCGUCACCAGCGAGGUUAAGGGCUUCAGGCCCGUUAGCCGAAGUGAAAGCGAGCCUUAACAGGGCGUUCAGUUGGUGGCGCUAGACGCGAAACCUUGUGAUCUACCCACGAGCAGGUUGAAGUCGCGGUAACACGUGAUGGAGGACCGAACCGGUAAACGUUGAAAAGUUUUCGGAUGACUCGCGGGUAGGGGUGAAAGGCCAAUCAAACUGGGAAAUAGCUCGUACUCUCCGAAAUGCAUUUCGGUGCAGCCUGUGAUGUUCUGUUCCAGAGGUAGAGCUACUGGUUGGACGCGAGGGCUUCACCGCCUAUCAAAUCCGGAUAAACUCCGAAUGCUGGAACACGAAAUCAUGGAGUGAGCCCGCGGGUGCUAAGGUCCGCGGACGAGAGGGAAAGAACCCGGACCACCGGCUAAGGUCCCGGAUGGACAGUUAAGUUGAUCAAACGAGGUGGGAUCGCGGAGACAGCUAGGAUGUUGGCUUGGAAGCAGCCAUUCAUUUAAAGAGUGCGUAACAGCUCACUAGUCGAGCGAUCCCGCGUGGAUAAUACACGGGCAUCAAACUGUCAACCGAAGCCGUGGGGUCAGCGAAAAGCUGACCGGUAGGAGAGCAUUCCUGCCAGCGUUGAAGGUCACCCGCGAGAGUGACUGGAGCGGCAUGAAAAGCAAAUGUAGGCAUAAGUAACGAUAAUGGGGGCGAGAACCCCCCACGCCGCAAGACCAAGGAUUCCCCGGCAAUGUCAAUCAGCCGGGGGUCAGCCGGCCUCUAAGGCUAACCCGAAGGGGGAUGCCGACGAGAAACGGGUUAACAUUCCCGUGCUUCUCGUCACCGUGACGCGGUGACGGGGUGAUGAAUGGACCGCGCGCUGACGGAAUAGCGCGUUGAAGGCCGUACCCUUCGAGGGUGGUAGUCAAGCACGCCACCCGAGGCGAUAGCCGAUAGUACCACGAGACUCCGGUCGAGUGGAUAGCGUCCAGGCAAUUUACCCCCGAGAAAACCCGCUAAACUUCAAGUGACGAGGAACCGUACUGUAAACGGACACACGUGGUCGGGUAGAACAUACCAAGGCGCUCGAGUGAUUCAUGGUCAAGGAACUAGGCAAAAUAGUCCUGUAACUUAGGGAUAAAGGACGCUCUAGUGAUAGAGCCGCAGAGAAAUGGCCCAGGCGACUGUUUACCAAAAACACAUGGCUAUGCCAAAUCGAAAGAUGACGUAUAUGGCCUGACACCUGCCCGGUGCCGGAAGGUUAAGAGGAGAGCUCAUCCGAAAGGAGAAGGUUUGAAUUGAAGCCCCGGUAAACGGCGGCCGUAACUAUAACGGUCCUAAGGUAGCGAAAUUCCUUGUCGGGUAAGUUC
rnacentral:rRNA from 1 species